UACUCAGCUGUUACAAAUUAAAUCUAGGUUAUUUCAUAGAUUCUGAUGUGGAUACUUUGAAUAUAUCGGAAAAAAUAUGCAGACAACAAAAAUAGACGUCAUCAAAGAUCCGACUGCGAGAGGAGGACAUGGACAGGUACCUCCCACCGGCGGGCCUGGAAAGAGAGAAAAAGAGAAAGGAGAGAAGGCUGUGUCCUCUCCGGUCCCCACCUGUUUGUGCAGCUUCACCAGGUUCUUCUCCGUGGGGUUCUCCUCGGCGUCCGCCUUCUCCGUCAUCAGCUUGGCCGCCUUGAAGUAGGUCUUGACCAGCAGGUGGCCAUGGCGCGACGCGUUCCAGUAGGAGCGCGGGAUCUCCACCAGCCCGUAGCCUAGCAACAGCACCAGCAGGAAGAGCCCCCAGGUGUUGGCGGCCGUGAUGCCGAUGGUCUGCAGCUCGUACCUGCACCGGAACGGACGGACGGGUGUGAGGCGGGGCUUUUGAUUGGUUCAUUGGGAUUUUCCUCCGAGGCACAUAAAUGCUACAGGGCAUCACAAUGCAUUGAUCUGAGGGAAAUUGGUGGCAACUUAUUCCAAUUUAGCAAUAUUGUUGUUAUUGACAUAUGAAGCAUGAGACUUAUUUUUACAAAAUAAAAGGCUAACAAAAU